rnacentral:lncRNA from 1 species
CAUCUCCACCUUAAUUUUUUUUUGUAAAAGCUUUUUAUUGAACGAAUUUAGAAAGAUAUUAAACAAAUUUAAUGAUUACAUAUGCAACUUUGUUAAGGAUAUUUUUGUCAAAAAUAGAUUACCACCACUCAAGAAUUCUCCAAAUACCAAUCCUCCCAUAGUAUUUGUUUUACCUUCUCUCUCCAAAAAAUAAACAUGUGGCCUAUCAUUUUUUUACCAUCUCUCUCUCUCCUUU